rnacentral:rRNA from 1 species
UAACACUAUAAGACGAGAAGACCCCAUGGAGCUUUAAACCCAAUUAUAUCCCUAACCCCUAUACCCAUUUAACCUCUUAGGCCUAUAUACUUGGUUUUAGGUUGGGGCGACCACGGAGUAAAACCAAACCUCCAUGAUGUACGGAACAACCUCCUUAUCUAAGAGCCACAGCUCUAAGAAUUAGCACACUAUCAUAAAAUGACCCAUUAUUGAUCAACGAACCAAGUUACCCUGGGGAUAACAGCGCAAUCCAUUUUAAGAGCCCCU